GAUGAACGCUAGCGGCAGGCCUAAUACAUGCAAGUCGGACGGGAUUCAGGAGCUUGCUUCUGAUGAGAGUGGCGCACGGGUGCGUAACACGUAUGUAACCUACCUUUAUCAGGGGGAUAGCCUCUCGAAAGAGAGAUUAAGCCCGCAUAAAAUCACAGCACAGCAUUGUGUAAUGAUCAAAUAUUUAUAGGAUAAAGAUGGGCAUGCGGAACAUUAGCUAGAUGGCGGGGUAACGGCCCACCAUGGCGACGAUGUUUAGGGGAUCUGAGAGGAUGGCCCCCCACACUGGUACUGAGACACGGACCAGACUCCUACGGGAGGCAGCAGUAAGGAAUAUUGAUCAAUGGGCGAAAGCCUGAACCAGCCAUGCCGCGUGCAGGAAGACGGCCCUACGGGUUGUAAACUGCUUUUAUACGGGAAUAAACCCAGAUACGUGUAUCUGGCUGAAUGUACUGUAAGAAUAAGGAUCGGCUAACUCCGUG
rnacentral:rRNA from 1 species